rnacentral:rRNA from 1 species
AGCUCGGCGGCGACGGGAAGCAGCUGCGGCGGGAGCUGUGGCGACUGGAGCAACCCAUCGCCGGCAUCACUCUCCCACGACGGUGGGCUAGAAUGAAGAGCUCAUGUAUAAGUGGCCAUGUUUGUGGAGGAAUUCAUGGCCGACAUCACCAACAAUGAACGGACACGUCCUCUCAAGUUUUGCUAGAAACCACUUUUGGACGCCGAUAGGACAGUGAUUGAGGCGCUGCGCUCUAACUUGACACCGUGGGGUCGUCUUCGACUUAAAAUCUGAUGAAGCAUGAGCGUUUGGUGUCGUUGUGGCGGCUGCUAGCAAGUGCGCAAGCAGAUAAGUCAGCCACGACUCUUCCGUUGAUCAGUCGAAUCUGGUGUGAUUGAUGAACUCUAAAUCCAGCCUGUGUUUUUGCUUGAUGAAACAACGCAUAUAUAUUGUAUGAUCUGAUGCUAUUGUUAACUGCUACUGUGAUGAGCUAGAUUUGACAGUUUAG